CCAGGUCGCCCACCCUCUUGGCUCUUGUCCACGUAGAGACACACCCAACCUCCUUCCUAUUCCCAGCACUGCCCCAUCCAACGCCUCUCCCUCCUCUUCUUUAAUCUCUCUCUCUUUCUCUCCCUCCUCUGUCUUCUUGUUCAAUUCUAAGUCCAAGGCCGUUUACUCUCUCCCCCACCCCCCCUUCUCUUUCUCUGCAUUUUCCCCUGCAAUUCCCUUCCCUCUACGUCUCUGCCAUUGUCGUCCUUCUACUGAAUUUCAUUGCCAUUCUCUCUUAUUCUUCAACUGCUCACUCAUCCGUUGACCCACAUUCGCCGCCUGCUGGCUAUUGACCACAAUGUCGGUGCCUCCCUGGCUCGAGCCCCUGCUCACCACUUCCUUCUUCAGCGUCUGUCGCUUCCACGGCGACGCCGCCAGGAGCGAGUGUAACAUGUUCUGCCUCGACUGCAAUCGCGACGCAUUUUGCUUUUAUUGUCGGUCAUCCAGGCACAAGGAUCAUCAGGUCAUUCAGAUAAGGCGAUCUUCGUAUCACGAUGUGGUGAGAGUGUCCGAGAUUCAGAAGGUAUUGGACAUAGGCGGGGUUCAGACGUACGUGAUAAACAGCGCGAGAGUCCUGUUUCUGAACGAGAGGCCUCAGCCAAAAUCUGGGAAGGGAGUGGCUCACAUUUGUGAGGUUUGCGGAAGAAGCCUCUUGGACCCAUUCCGCUUCUGUUCUCUGGGCUGUAAGCUUGUGGGAGUGAAGAGGAAUGGGGAUGCAAACUUUGCUUUGGAAGGAAACAACGAGGCGAUGGCGAGGGGGGAGGGAAUAUCAAGGAGAUCAGUAUCGGAAGAAGAAUCGCGUGAAGGCUCACAACAAGACAUGUAUCCGGCCACGCCUCCUCCACCUGCUUCAACCGCAAGGAGAAGAAAAGAAAAUUAGGGGAAAUAAUGGAGAGGGACAGAGAGAAAGUGAGGGAGGGAGGGUAGCGGAUGUUGAAAGAUCGUGUUUAUUACGUAGCGUCAUUUUCUCUCCCGAACAAAUGAGCCAAAGCAAUUAGGUAGAGCAGAUGUUAAUUGAUAGCUACCCAGAGUUUUCAAUUCGCAAAACGUGCGUCACCCAAGAAUUCAACUGAAAGGGGUCCACAGGCAAGAGUUCUCCUGCACUAUGGACCUAACAAUUAAUUUACCCAUCACGAUAUAAAGUUUACAUGCCCCUAUGCGCUCGGUCCUUUUCUGUCUACUCAGUUGCAUUGGAUAAACACGCGCGCGCGACAAUACAUCUGACUUUUAAAAUGUCCAGUAAGUUUGUUCGUCUUUUAUACUUAUUAAAAUUUGCAUUAUCUUGUUGUGUGAUAUUUCACACAAUGAUACCAAUUUCAUGUAGGGCGUAUUUGGAAUUAAAGACGUCAAACAUGUUGAUGUAUCCCCGGACGUCCAUGGUAGUGAAAUCGCAUUAAACAUUCAGGCUCAUGCAUUUUCUUUUUUUCUUUCGGUUACGAUCUUCAAUUCAGUGCGAAUUCAUGCACAUUCACUUACCGAAAAAUAUCUGGGAAAAGGUACCUGCAAAAAGUUGAUCGAUAAAGCAUUAAGCAACGAAGGUACAAGUGCGUGUCAUAAAAAACCUUAUGAUCGGGCCCUUCUUUGCAACGUUCAACAAAUCUAUGCACUACACGUGAAACCAUAAGGUCACACCGUCACAGUAUAAGCAAUGUGCGUUUAUCUUCUUUGUACACAUAGUAACGGGGGAAAAUUUAUUACGGUUGAAUUCUUGGAAAGGCCAGAAAUGAAUUGAGAAAGAAUGAGAGUAAGGAAGCCCAUUCAACGCAAUCUAUUUUUUUAGGGGGUGGGGAAAAAACAAAUCUCAAUUGGGUAGAAUGCCUUUCGAUCUUUCAUUUCUACUAUUCCGAAACUGCGCGAAAGACAUCAUCAACAUGGACGAUACCUGAUCAAGCGCUUUAGCAUGCGCAAUCCCAAUUCCUGUAGCGACAGGGGGCGAGGAAGAAGAAGAAGCAGAAGCUUUAUUUUCCUCAUCCCUCUGUAUGCUGACAGAAACAAACGACGAAUGAUCCAUGGACAGAGACCUCUUCAACCCCAUCAUGGAACCCUGAUGAGGAUUUUCCUGCGCGUGAUGAUACGCCACAGAGAGAGAAUGCCGAAUCGUGGAAGCAGCACGAGGGGCUCGUGACGUGGAACCAGAAGCAGCAAUCUUAUGAUCAUGAUCACGUUGAUGAGACUGCCUUUCCUCAGCAUCAGCAACAUGAUCUUCUGAAGCCGCAGGGGCAAUGACUAAUGGCGCUCGACAAAUGGGACAAUUGGAAUUUUGAGUGAACCAGAGAUCGAUACAAGGUACGUGAAAAGCGUGACUGCAAGAAGGCAAUAAUCGAACCUUUUCUCCGUCCUGCAAUUCGCCUAAGCAAAUAGCGCACUCGGUCUGGUCCAGACGAAAGGCGUCAUCUUUCUUGUGAGAGUAAGGCAGAAUAGGGAUUUUCUUGAGGAUCUCAGGGUCGACGCCGCAGGGAAUGUCAUCAGGAGGGGGGCUCAUUGGCUGAGCUAUUUGCCGCAAUUGUCGUCGGCCUUGAAGGCAAAGCCUGAAGAGGAUGAAGUGGUACGUCGCUAAGGCCACACAAGAGCAGAUGAUGCCGGCGCCGGAGAUAAUGAGAGGGUUCACAAAGUAACCAAGGUUGCCUUGGCCAUCAGCGGCGGCAUUGUUGCUGUUCAUGUCUCGUGUAAUGUUGUUCUUUUCUGUGUUGGUGUUGCAGUUGCCUCAACUUGUGGUUAAUUGUGGCAGACCGAGGAUAUGGUUUUUCGCUUUCAGAUGUUAGUUCCAAUAAAGCAGGAAGCCGUUGGGUUGACUGCUUGAGAGAUUUUCUUGCCAUGACCUCCACGUAGCGGCUUCAGACAGUGCAAUCUCAUCUCCAGUUCCAUUCUAGUGGUACUGUAUUGGACAAGUGUAACUGUGUGUGUUUUUAUAAUAAUUCUCCGUUUUAUUUU